UACGAAGGGGACUAGCGUUGUUCGGAAUCACUGGGCGUAAAGCGCACGUAGGCGGAUUCGUAAGUCAGGGGUGAAAUCCCGGGGCUCAACCUCGGAACUGCCUUUGAUACUGCGGGUCUUGAGUCCGAUAGAGGUGGGUGGAAUUCCUAGUGUAGAGGUGAAAUUCGUAGAUAUUAGGAAGAACACCGGUGGCGAAGGCGGCAUCCUGGACCGACACUGACGCUGAGGAGCGAAAGCCAGGGGAGCAAACGGG
rnacentral:rRNA from 1 species